rnacentral:rRNA from 1 species
GGCGAACGCUGGCGGCGUGCUUAACACAUGCAAGUCGAACGGAAAGGCCCUUCGGGGUACUCGAGUGGCGAACGGGUGAGUAACACGUGGAUGAUCUGCCCUGCACUUUGGGAUAAGCCUGGGAAACUGGGUCUAAUACCGAAUAGGACCACGUGCUUCAUGGUGUGUGGUGGAAAGCUUUUGCGGUGUGGGAUGGGCCCGCGGCCUAUCAGCUUGUUGGUGGGGUAAUGGCCUACCAAGGCGACGACGGGUAGCCGGCCUGAGAGGGUGACCGGCCACACUGGGACUGAGAUACGGCCCAGACUCCUACGGGAGGCAGCAGUGGGGAAUAUUGCACAAUGGGCGCAAGCCUGAUGCAGCGACGCCGCGUGAGGGAUGACGGCCUUCGGGUUGUAAACCUCUUUCAAUAGGGACGAAGCGCAAGUGACGGUACCUAUAGAAGAAGCACCGGCCAACUACGUG